UACGUAGGGUGCAAGCGUUGUCCGGAAUUAUUGGGCGUAAAGAGCUCGUAGGCGGUUUGUCGCGUCUGCUGUGAAAACCCGAGGCUCAACCUCGGGCCUGCAGUGGGUACGGGCAGACUAGAGUGCGGUAGGGGAGAUUGGAAUUCCUGGUGUAGCGGUGGAAUGCGCAGAUAUCAGGAGGAACACCGGUGGUGUAGACGGCUCUCUGGACCGUAACUGACGCUGAGGCACGAAAGCGUGGGUAGCAAACAGG
rnacentral:rRNA from 1 species